UAAUAAUAAAUGGCACAUCUCUAAGACAUUUUUGCCAGGCACGCGCUGUAAAAAGAGUUAAAUUUAAUUAAUUGCAACAGCAUUGCAAUUUAAUUAAUCUAAAAGGAAUAUACAUUAGACUAAGGUAGGAUGUGCACCGGUUCCCCUAGCAGCAAUGGCACUCAGCCGGAAGAAGACGCUGGUGCGCCAGAGCAGCAACAGCAGCAGCAGCAACAACAACAACAGCAAGAACAACCACAGACAGAGCAGAGUCUUGGCCUCAGAACGCCCACGCAUGCAAUUGUUGGAGCUGCCACAGCAGAAGAAAUUCUGGAGGAAUAUGGAAGCACUUUGAAACUCCUGGAAUGCAACUCACAGGUGGCCGAACUACUAACUAUACUGAGAGACAAGAAUACCACCCGCAGCGAUUUUAAAUUUUAUGCGGAUCGUCUGAUACGUCUGGUUAUAGAAGAAUCUCUCAAUCAGCUACCCUACACCGAUUGUGAUGUAGAAACCCCUACGGGUGCUAUAUACGAAGGCCUGAAAUAUCGGUCCGGCAAUUGUGGAGUUUCAAUCAUACGUUCCGGCGAGGCUAUGGAACAGGGAUUACGCGAUUGUUGCCGCUCGAUAAGGAUAGGCAAAAUUUUGGUCGAGUCCGAUGCGAAUACACACGAGGCUCGUGUUGUGUAUGCCCGUUUCCCCGAUGACAUUGGCAGUCGCCAGGUGCUGCUUAUGUAUCCCAUUAUGUCCACUGGAAAUACUGUUCUACAGGCAGUCAAUGUUUUACGCGAACAUGGCGUGCCUGAGAAGUGCAUCAUCUUGUCCAAUCUCUUUUGUACACCAGCGGCGGCUCGUACUGUGGUUAAUGCCUUUCCUAAAUUGAAGAUAUUGACAUCGGAACUGCAUCCGGUGGCGCCCAAUCAUUUCGGACAGAAAUAUUUUGGUACAGACUAGAGAUUAAUUAGAGAGAGGGAAUAAGAUGAAGAUGAUGAUGAUGAAGACGAAGACAACCACAAUUGAGACUUGACAACUAAGCGCUGCUUAGGAUAGAUGGCAUUUGAUUUGGUGGUAUCCCAACGCGUCGCAAAACUUACCAAAACUUAGAACUGGCUUUUAUGCAAAUGCAAAGAAAACUCUUUAAAACAUGUUGUUAUACUACAUACAUAUAUCCUAUAAACUUAAUCAACUAUUUUAAUUGUAAAUAAAAUGAAUCACAAAAGCAAUUCACAAUGCCCCAGUAUCGGAUCAGAGUUACUGAAUGCUGAAUGUGAUAAAUCUCAAAGAG